AAUAAAAUCAAUGAAUCACCCUCUCACCCCUGACCUCUCACCCCAGACCCUAUAGCAGUUGUCCCAAACUAGUGGCCCGUGGGCUGAAUUUGGCACUCUUUAAUUUGGACCCCCGGGUUUUCUAAGCAAAAAUAAUAAUAAUAAUACUCUUCUUUUUUUUCUUUUUUUUGUUUUUUUAAAUAUAAGACUAAAAAUCUAAUUUUAUUUGUCACAUGAUUGGUAAACAACAGGUGUGGUCUAACAGUGAAAUGCUGACUUAUGGGUCCUUGGUAAACAACAGGUGUGGACUAACAGUGAAAUGCUGACUUAUGGGUCCUUGGUAAACAACAGGUGUGGACUAACAGUGAAAUGCUGACUUAUGGGUCCUUGGUAAACAACAGGUGUGGACUAACAGUGAAAUGCUGACUUAUGGGUCCUUGGUAAACAACAGGUGUGGACUAACAGUGAAAUGCUGACUUAUGGGUCCUUGGUAAACAACAGGUGUGGUCUAACAGUGAAAUGCUGACUUAUGGGUCCUUGGUAAACAACAGGUGUAGACUAACAGUGAAAUGCUGACUUAUGGGUCCUUGGUAAACAACAGGUGUGGACUAACAGUGAAAUGCUGACUUAUGGGUCCUUGGUAAACAACAGGUGUGGACUAACAGUGAAAUGCUGACUUAUGGGUCCUUGGUAAACAACAGGUGUGGACUAACAGUGAAAUGCUGACUUAUGGGUCCUUGGUAAACAACAGGUGUGGACUAACAGUGAAAUGCUGACUUAUGGGUCCUUGGUAAACAAC